UACGUAGGCAGCGAGCGUUGUUCGGAAUUACUGGGCGUAAAGAGUGUGUAGGCGGUGCUCCCAGUCUGUUGUGAAAUCUCCCGGCUUAACUGGGAGGGUGCAGCGGAAACUAGAGUGCUAGAGGGUGGGAGAGGUAAGCGGAAUUCCUGGUGUAGCGGUGAAAUGCGUAGAUAUCAGGAGGAACACCGGUGGCGAAGGCGGUUCUCUGGGCCUGUACUGACGCUGAGGAGCGAAAGCGUGGGGAGCGAACAGG
rnacentral:rRNA from 1 species